UACGGGGGGAGCAAGCGUUGUUCGGAUUUACUGGGCGUAAAGGGCGCGUAGGCGGCGUAACAAGUCACUUGUGAAAUCUCCGGGCUUAACCCGGAGCGGCCAAGUGAUACUGUUGUGUUAGAGUGCGGAAGGGGCUACUGGAAUUCUCGGUGUAGCGGUGAAAUGCGUAGAUAUCGAGAGGAACACCUGCGGCGAAGGCGGGUAGCUGGGCCGACACUGACGCUGAGGCGCGAAAGCCAGGGGAGCGAACGGG
rnacentral:rRNA from 1 species